ACCCUUGAGGACUUUGAGCUUGUUUUGGAGCUUUUUGAGAGGUGGGAUUUGAAGGCCUCUAGCUCCCUUUUGGCAUUCGUGGGAGAUUUUUUAGCAUUCGGGUACUAGGAGAGUGGUGGACACCCUCGUCGGAGC